rnacentral:rRNA from 1 species
GACGAACGCUGGCGGCGUGCUUAACACAUGCAAGUCGAACGGAAAGGCCUGCUUUCCCUUGUGGAUUGCGGGUACUCGAGUGGCGAACGGGUGAGUAACACGUGAGUGAUCUGCCCCCAACUUGGGUAUAAGCCUGGGAAACUGGGUCUAAUUCCCGAUAGGACUGCAGGGUGGUGCCUGUGGUGGAAAACGAUUUUCUAGUGGUUGGGGAUGAGCUCGCGGCCUAUCAGCUUGUUGGUGGGGUAAUGGCCUACCAAGGCGGCGACGGGUAGCCGGCCUGAGAGGGUGGACGGCCACAUUGGGACUGAGUUACGGCCCAGACUCGUACGGGAGGCAGCAGUGGGGAAUAUUGCACAAUGGGCGGAAGCCUGAUGCCGCGACGCCGCGUGGGGGAUGCCGUCCUUCGGGUUGUAAACUCCUUUCGACCGCGAGGAAGCCACCUGGUUGGAAGGGUGGUGACGGUAGUGGUAGAAGAAGCACCGGCUAACUACGUG